UACGGAGGGUGCGAGCGUUGUCCGGAAUCAUUGGGCGUAAAGGGCGCGUAGGUGGCCCGGUCAGUCUUUGGUGAAAGCGCGGGGCUCAACCCUGCGUCGGCCAGGGAUACUGCCGCGGCUCGAGCACUGUAGAGGCAGGCGGAAUUCCCGGUGUAGCGGUGAAAUGUGUAGAGAUCGGGAGGAACACCGGUGGCGAAGGCGGGUCUCUGGGCAAUUCCUGACGCUGAGGCGCGAAAGCGUGGGGAGCAAACGGG
rnacentral:rRNA from 1 species